GAAUGUUGAUUUAUUCAUUUACAUGUAAUGAUGUAUAUUUCUUGUAGUGAUAUACAAUAUUGAUAAAAAUUGUAGAUUUCCAAAACGUCGAUCUUUACAAAAAAAAAAUCAAUCAGAUUUUUAAUAUUGUUGUAUCUUGUUAUACUGUAUACUUAUUAAUUUGCAAUUUAAUUAGAUCUAUAUUUAACAAUACAAAAACUCGCAUUUAUAAAUAAAUACGACUCAUCACUGUAUGAGUUGAUACGAAUUGAAAUAACCACGUGUUUCCGCUGUGGUAGCUGUAAACAAAAACAUGAUCCGAAAUCUGAACGUCAAUUUUCAUGAUUAUUUCACGACGAAGAUCCUUACAUCAAUGAAUCAAAUAAUACGGACAUGACUUUGGUAUUAGCAGGGUGCUUUCACCAUAUACAUCAAUACUUUCAUCUGUGAAUACCCACUUUCUAAGCCCACCAUGAACUACGAAGGUCAAUUAAUAUGUAAGGACACCAAUAAACAGACACUUUCCAAUUAUGGUACAUCAUGUACAUGGGUGGUCAAACUCACUGGAUGGUUUAUCAACACUCCCAUGCUCACGAACAGCCUAGCCCCAUGAAUUUUGCCCUGAAGUAACAUUGCAGUCUAUUGUCUCCUUUCUUCUUACAACCCUGGCA